rnacentral:rRNA from 1 species
UACGGAGAGGCAGCAGUGGGGAAUAUUGCACAAUGGGCGCAAGCCUGAUGCAGCCAUGCCGCGUGUAUGAAGAAGGCCUUCGGGUUGUAAAGUACUUUCAGUCGUGAGGAAGGUGUUAAGGUUAAUAACCUUAGCAAUUGACGUUAGCGACAGAAGAAGCACCGGCUAACUCCGUGCCAGCAGCCGCGGUAAUACGGAGGGUGCGAGCGUUAAUCGGAAUUACUGGGCGUAAAGGGCACGCAGGCGGUUAAUUAAGUUGGAUGUGAAAUCCCCGGGCUUAACCUGGGAAUGGCAUUCAAGACUGGUUAGCUAGAGUCUUGUAGAGGGGGUAGAAUUCCGAUGUGUAGCGGUGAAAUGCGUAGAGAUGUGGAGGAAUACCGGUGGCGAAGGCGGCCCCUGGGACAAAGACUGACGCUCAUGUGCGAAAGCGUGGGGAGCAAACAGGGAUUAGAUACC